GACGAACGCUGGCGGCGUGCUUAACACAUGCAAGUCGAACGGCAAGGCCCUGCUUUUGUGGGGUGCUCGAGUGGCGAACGGGUGAGUAACACGUGAGUAACCUGCUCUUGACUUUGGGAUAGCUUCAGGAAACUGGGGCUAAUACCGGAUAGGAGCUCCUGUUGCAUGGUGGGGGUUGGAACGUUUCGGCGGUUGGGGAUGGACUCGCGGCUUAUCAGCUUGUUGGUGGGGUAGUGGCUUACCAAGGCUUUGACGGGUAGCCGGCCUGAGAGGGUGACCGGCCACAUUGGGACUGAGAUACGGCCCAGACUCCUACGGGAGGCAGCAGUGGGGAAUAUUGCACAAUGGGCGGAAGCCUGAUGCAGCAACGCCGCGUGCGGGAUGACGGCCUUCGGGUUGUAAACCGCUUUCGCCUGUGACGAAGCGUGAGUGACGGUAAUGGGUAAAGAAGCACCGGCUAACUACGUG
rnacentral:rRNA from 1 species